rnacentral:lncRNA from 1 species
UGUUCUUCAUGUUAUUAGGGAGCCAAAUUCAAAUAGAAACAGAAAGGUGAAAUGCAGAAAAUAUCGUAAAAUUGUUAAGAACACGUAAAAUUAUUGAUUAAUUGAUAAAACCAUUGCAAAUGAUCCAGAAACAAGGCAUACAUAACAAAUUAUUCGUUGAAUCCGCAUAGCUAAAUAGCACGAAAAAUAGAAAAUCAGAAUAGAAGCUAAAUUUACCAACACUCGUACAACC